UGUCCUACGGGAGGCAGCAGUGGGGAGUAUUGCACAAUGGGGGAAACCCUGAUGCAGCGACGCCGCGUGAGUGAAGAAGUAUUUCGGUAUGUAAAGCUCUAUCAGCAGGGAAGAAAAUGACGGUACCUGACUAAGAAGCCCCGGCUAACUACGUGCCAGCAGCCGCGGUAAUACGUAGGGGGCAAGCGUUAUCCGGAUUUACUGGGUGUAAAGGGAGCGUAGACGGCCGUGCAAGUCUGAUGUGAAAACCCGGGGCUCAACCCCGGGACUGCAUUGGAAACUGCAUGGCUGGAGUGUCGGAGAGG
rnacentral:rRNA from 1 species